AGGCGGUUAGCUCAGCUGGUUAGAGCGCCACGUUGACAUCGUGGAGGUCGUUGGUUCGAUUCCAAUACCGCCUA
rfam:Achromobacter sp. DMS1 scaffold251, whole genome shotgun sequence.